GAGCGUAGCUCCCACACGGUCGGAAUCCCUUCACGGCUGGCAGAAGUGGAAGAAGAGCAGAUUGGCUUUGCAAACCGGGCAUAUCAUGUUGUGCUGCCCUCAUCCAAAGCCCACUGAGUCCAUCUUGUGAAGUCAUACACUGGAAUGGUGGUCUUGAUUUUCCUGGACGAAUACUCUGAGGAAAAGAAAAGCUAUAGGACCUGUUAGUACCUCAAGUUUAU